rnacentral:lncRNA from 1 species
GGGAGGACAAGGUAGUAGUGAUUCCUACACAGGGCUUCAUGGCCGGGACAGGGAUGGGAUCAGACCCUUCACGCCCAGGACAACCAGGUUACCCAGGACGUCCAGGGUUGGUCACACCAGAGCAGGGCCAACCAGGCUGGGACGGAGUGACAGGACAGAAGCCUGCUGUGGUCUACAAGGAGGAGGAGGGCCAGAGCUCUAGAACAACAGCCCAUAGCAUACCAGGAGCCACGGAAUCAUACAGCGUGGACCAAUCGGUGGCGAUCCCUCAUGAGGCAUCUCCCACCAAACCACCCUUCCACCUCAUCAUCGUCAACGUGCAUGACAAGAACCAAACAGUGGACCACAUCCUGCAGAUCCUUGGCCAGCCUCUAGGGGGUAAUGGAGAUUUCCAGUCCCCGCUCAUCCCAGCCUUCCCAUUCAUCCAGACUGAGGCCAUCCAGGGCAGCGAGGACUCUGACAGUAUCCAUCCCAUCACUCUCCCCCCAACGCUAAGCUUCAUCAACGGGAAACACCAGGUGACUCUGGAGCCAGAGCUGCCAGGGAAGGAGCAGGAGGCGAGAGGAGACCAGUUUGAGACGGCCACACCAGUCCACAGUGAACUGGGAGAAGAGAUGGAUCAUGAUGAGGAGGAGAAGAGCC